ACGGAAGGCAGCAGUGGGGAAUAUUGGGCAAUGGGCGCAAGCCUGACCCAGCAAUGCCGCGUGAAGGAAGAAGGCUUUCGGGUUGUAAACUUCUUUUACCAGGGACGAAGGACGUGACGGUACCUGGAGAAAAAGCAACGGCUAACUACGUGCCAGCAGCCGCGGUAAUACGUAGGUUGCGAGCGUUGUCCGGAUUUACUGGGUGUAAAGGGCGUGUAGGCGGAGUUGCAAGUCAGAUGUGAAAUCUAUGGGCUCAACCCAUAAAUUGCAUUUGAAACUGUAACCCUUGAGUAUCGAAGAGGCAAGCGGAAUUCCUAGUGUAGCGGUGAAAUGCGUAGAUAUUAGGAGGAACACCAGUGGCGAAGGCGGCUUGCUGGACGACAACUGACGCUGAGGCGCGAAAGCGUGGGGAGCAAACAGGAUUAGAUACCCUGGUA
rnacentral:rRNA from 1 species